GGGUCGUUAGCUCAGUUGGUAGAGCAGUUGACUUUUAAUCAAUUGGUCGCAGGUUCGAAUCCUGCACGACCCC
rnacentral:tRNA from 5 species